CAACUUUGCUAUCUUAGAACGGAUCACCAGUGAAAGAGGGGAAGUUGCUACUGUGAUGAAUUCUGCCAUGUGGUACCAGACUGCUGCCCAGACCACAGUGUCCUCUGCAACCCUGGUAACUCACAUACAGGCCUGAUUCCACCUACAGCAAAGCUGGAUGCUAUGGUUGGCAGAGGCAAGCCCCUUGCCUGCACUUCAGGCCAAAGCCGGGAUGUGGCCUAGAUGGUUCCUAAGCUUCUCAGAUGACCAAGAUGGUGCUGCCGAUGGUGUUGAGGACGGAGAACCCACCAAGCCCCGUUAGGAGCCACCUAGACUGGAUGCAGAGCACAGCUAAAACCUUUGAAGAGGAAUUUAUUAUAUCCUACAAACCUGGGAGGCAGAGGUUGCAGUGAGCCAAGUUCGGUCCAUUGCACUCCAGCCUGGGCAACAAGAAUGAAACUCUGUCUCAAAAAAACAAAAGUUGGCUAGGGCCAGGUGUGGUGGCUCACACCUGUAAUCCCAGCACUUUGGGAGGCUAAAGCAGGCGGAUCACCUGAGGUCAGAAGUACAGGACCAUCCUGGCUAAUAUGGUGAAACCCCAUCUCUACUAAAAAUACAAAAAAAAAAAAAAAAAAAAAAA
rnacentral:lncRNA from 1 species